CGUAGGGAAACCGAGUCUUAACUGGGCGAAUAGUUGCAAGGUAUAGACCCGAAACCCGGUGAUCUAGCCAUGGGCAGGUUGAAGGUUGGGUAACACUAACUGGAGGACCGAACCGACUAAUGUUGAAAAAUUAGCGGAUGACUUGUGGCUGGGGGUGAAAGGCCAAUCAAACCGGGAGAUAGCUGGUUCUCCCCGAAAGCUAUUUAGGUAGCGCCUCGUGAACUCAUCUUCGGGGGUAGAGCACUGUUUCGGCUAGGGGGUCAUCCCGACUUACCAAACCGAUGCAAACUCCGAAUACCGAAGAAUGUUAUCACGGGAGACACACGGCGGGUGCUAACGUCCGUCGUGAAGAGGGAAACAACCCAGACCGCCAGCUAAGGUCCCAAAGUCAUGGUUAAGUGGGAAACGAUGUGGGAAGGCAUAGACAGCCAGGAUGUUGGCUUAGAAGCAGCCAUCAUUUAAAGAAAGCGUAAUAGCUCACUGGUCGAGUCGGCCUGCGCGGAAGAUGUAACGGGGCUAAACCAUGCACCGAAGCUGCGGCAGCGACACUUAGGUGUUGUUGGGUAGGGGAGCGUUCUGUAAGCCGUUGAAGGUGACCUGUGAGGGUUGCUGGAGGUAUCAGAAGUGCGAAUGCUGACAUAAGUAACGAUAAUGCGGGUGAAAAACCCGCACGCCGGAAGACCAAGGGUUCCUGUCCAACGUUAAUCGGGGCAGGGUGAGUCGACCCCUAAGGCGAGGCUGAAAAGCGUAGUCGAUGGGAAACAGGUUAAUAUUCCUGUACUUGGUGUUACUGCGAAGGGGGGACGGAGAAGGCUAGGCUAGCCGGGCGACGGUUGUCCC
rnacentral:rRNA from 1 species